rnacentral:lncRNA from 1 species
CACCCGCAGAGGAACCGAGGCUGCCCAGCCACUAGCAGCAGCGAGCGCCCUCCCCGAUCGCUACAGCACCCGGGAGCCACGGGAACAGCCGAGGCCCCGAACCGCCGAAGAGAGAGGAGGCAGCGGUCCCGCUGCGUACGGGUCCCAGCAGACGCCUUCCGAGGGGCGCGGGAGGAAGGAGGGACGACCCUGCCUACAUGCAGCAGUCCUGGGGCCUCGCGCUCCCACUGCUGCUCCCCUGGGUGGCAGGUGGAUUAGGGAACGCGGCCAGG